AUUGAACGCUGGCGGCAUGCUUUACACAUGCAAGUCGAACGGUAACAGGCCGCAAGGUGCUGACGAGUGGCGAACGGGUGAGUAAUGCAUCGGAACGUGCCCAGUCGUGGGGGAUAACGCAGCGAAAGCUGCGCUAAUACCGCAUACGAUCUGUGGAUGAAAGCGGGGGACCGAAAGGCCUCGUGCGAUUGGAGCGGCCGAUGUCAGAUUAGGUAGUUGGUGGGGUAAAGGCCCACCAAGCCAACGAUCUGUAGCUGGUCUGAGAGGACGACCAGCCACACUGGGACUGAGACACGGCCCAGACUCCUACGGGAGGCAGCAGUGGGGAAUUUUGGACAAUGGGCGCAAGCCUGAUCCAGCAAUGCCGCGUGCAGGAAGAAGGCCUUCGGGUUGUAAACUGCUUUUGUACGGAACGAAACGGUCCUGGUUAAUACCUGGGGCUAAUGACGGUACCGUAAGAAUAAGCACCGGCUAACUACGUGCCAGCCGCCGCAGUAAAAC
rnacentral:rRNA from 1 species